AUAAAUAAAUAUAACUUGUAGGCUCUAAAUCUCGUACAAAAAAUUUGGGAAAUUAUUGAAAUAUAAAAUCUGGAUUUCCGUGCCUUACUCAAUCUCAAAUUCUAGCAAUGCCCAACAUGCAGUCUGCUAAUACCAUAUCAAUCUCAGUUCUUUGUCACAAACUCUCAACCAACUUUAACUAGUAAUAUAUAUGCUCAAUCUCAACACCUAACAUGCAACCUCUUAAUGCCAUAUCAAGCAUUAUAUUACCUCAUAGGAAUGACUCUAAAAAAACAAAUUCCAAAUAUAUCCUAAAAGAAAGAAAUUUGGAAAAGCUGACUACACAAUAUAAUAAUCAUAUUAUUAAUAAAUUGGA